ensembl:lncRNA
UUUGAAUGCAAAAAAGAAUUAAGAAGAGCUUAACAAGGUCAUUAAGGGAAUUAAAAGUUCUUUCUAACCUCUGAGAAGUGUGCCUAGCUAGGUACCUAUGCUUUUCUGUAGCCUCAUUCUGUAGAUUCCCUUUCCCAUGCCUGCUGUGAGGAAGCAAGCUGCUAUGAGUCCUAUAUCCACAAGGAACUGAAUUCUGCCAACAAACACAUGAUCCAGGAGGAGGAUCCUUUUCUAUCCAGCCCUUCAGAUGAGAUGACAGCCUGGCUAAUACAUUAACAGCAGUCUUGUAAGAGACGACACAAGGCCAACCCAAGACACCACAUCAGGCUCAUCCAAAAUCCUGCUGAAGCUUCUCGCUUUUUCCUGAGGUGAAGGAGUGAGAGUGGGUGACAGUGAUUGCAAGCAACAGUUCAAACCAACUCCUUUACCAAUCAUCUUUUUCACAUUCUCUAAAAUUUGUUUACCCUUACUGCUGUUUAAGAGAUUAAGACUCAUGGAACUGAUCAUUGAGCACUUCCUUUGUAAAUUCUGUGCACAGGGAUUUGUCUCACAGUCAUGGUCUGUGAUAUGAUUCUACGGCAAUGCUAUGGAAUGUUGGCAAGAAAAGUACUACUAUAACAACCUAUCACAUAUGGUAUUCACAAG